rnacentral:rRNA from 1 species
GAUCAUGGCUCAGGAUGAACGCUGGCGGCGUGCUUAACACAUGCAAGUCGAACGAAGCACUUUAAUUGAUUUCUUCGGAAUGAAGUUUUGUGACUGAGUGGCGGACGGGUGAGUAACGCGUGGGUAACCUGCCUCAUACAGGGGGAUAACAGUUGGAAGCGACUGCUAAUACCGCAUAAGCGCACAGGAUUGCAUGAUCCAGCGUGAAAAACUCCGGUGGUAUGAGAUGGACCCG